ACGGGUGCGUAACACGUGAGUAAUCUGCCGAGAAGUGGGGGAUAGCUCGCCGAAAGGCGAAUUAAUACCGCAUAUGGCCAGGGAGGACAUCCUCUCGACGCCAAAGCCGCAAGGCGCUUCUUGAUGAGCUCGCGGCCUAUCAGCUUGUUGGUGAGGUAACGGCUCACCAAGGCUUUGACGGGUAGCUGGUCUGAGAGGACGACCAGCCACACUGGAACUGAGACACGGUCCAGACACCUACGGGUGGCAGCAGUCGAGAAUUUUUCACAAUGGGGGAAACCCUGAUGGAGCGACGCCGCGUGGAGGAUGAAGGCGUUUUCGUCGUAAACUCCUGUCAUGCGAGAACAAGAAAGUGAUAGUAUCGCAAGAGGAAGAGACGGCUAACUCUGUGCCAGCAGCCGCGGUAAUACAGAGGUCUCAAGCGUUGUUCGGAUUCAUUGGGCGUAAAGGGUGCGUAGGUGGCAUGGUAAGUUGAAGGUGAAAUCUCGGAGCUCAACUCCGAAACUGCCUUCAAUACUGCUGUGCUUGAGGACUGUAGAGGAGAAUGGAAUUCACGGUGUAGCAGUGAAAUGCGUAGA
rnacentral:rRNA from 1 species